UACGGAGGGUGCAAGCGUUAUCCGGAUUUACUGGGUUUAAAGGGUGCGUAGGUGGGUCUGUAAGUCAGUGGUGAAAUCUCCGAGCUUAACUCGGAAACUGCCAUUGAUACUAUAGGUCUUGAAUUAUCUGGAGGUAAGCGGAAUAUGUCAUGUAGCAGUGAAAUGCUUAGAUAUGACAUAGAACACCAAUUGCGAAGGCAGCUUACUACGGAUUGAUUGACACUGAGGCACGAAAGCGUGGGGAUCAAACAGG
rnacentral:rRNA from 1 species